UUUUGUUUAUCCAUUGGCCUGUUGAAGGACAUCUUGGUUGCUUCCAGCUUUAGGCAAUGGUGAAUCAUGUGGUUAUAACAUUCAUGUGGAGUGUUGGAUGUUCUAUUGUGAGAAGGCGAUGCAUGGAACCAAGGCAGCCAUCUUUUUAUCAUGGGGUGAAAAUCUGAGGAUGAAAAGUGAAUAUGCGAAGGAUGCAGAGUGGAAGGAAAGGAAGAACUACAUCCUUGAGGACACGUGGGAGCCAGUGGGCCAAUCCCAGGAUUCCUUGUCAGCUGAACCAUAUCCUGGAAUCCUCCCAGAUACAUCAUCAACGAAAACCCCUGGAUUUCCUUGUGGAUAGCCAAAUCUCUGCCAACUUGUAUAUGAGCAACUUAGGGUCUAGGUGCCUAUUUGGGGUCAAUUAUCACCUCCAGCUUGAUACAACUAAGAGCCAUAAAAGAACAAGAAACAAACUUUUGUUGUGAUGAGCCCAUGAGAUG
rnacentral:lncRNA from 1 species